UACGAAGGGGGCUAGCGUUGUUCGGAAUUACUGGGCGUAAAGCGCGCGUAGGCGGACGUUUAAGUCAGGGGUGAAAUGCCGGGGCUCAACCUCGGAACUGCCUUUGAUACUGGACGUCUGGAGUUCGGGAGAGGUGAGUGGAAUUCCGAGUGUAGAGGUGAAAUUCGUAGAUAUUAGGAAGAACACCGGUGGCGAAGGCGGCCCACUGGAUCGGUACUGACGCUGAGGUGCGAAAGCGUGGGGAGCAAACAGG
rnacentral:rRNA from 1 species